UAUCAGGCAAUGAUGGAAAGUAGUAGGUAUACUUCUGUCUUCAGAGAGCCGGUGGUUGGUGUGAACCGGUGUCAAAGUAUAUUGAACUCGUUCCAGAGCCUGACCGGUGAAAUUUAAGUAAUUGGUCACGCUACCAGCGAUAUCGGUAAUGAGUGGGUAUGAAGCCAAAAAGGGUGGUACCACGGGAAUAACCUCGUCCCUGUU
rnacentral:ncRNA from 1 species